CACAGAUGAGGUUUGAAUGGGAUAGUGUGGCACAUUAGGAAAGUUAAUUUGUGCUAUGCAGGUGAAGUAUGCCAGGAGACUGGUUAAGGGUCAAGUAAGUAUAGGACCAGUAGUGCAACUGUGAGAGUCCGGACAAGGGGAAAGGCAGGUGGAAAGAUGAUGAGGUGGACCUUACUGAGGAAGACCUGAUGACACUGAAUGUAGAGGCCAAGGGAAGGGGUAGGAAGAUCCUACUGUUUGAAGCUGGAGACAUUGGAAUAAUUGAGAUAUAAUCAAGUGAGCUAAGGAGCAUGUGGCUGGGGAUGCCACAGAUGAUGUUUUAUUCUAUACAUGUUGAUAGAAUAUUGAGAUAAUAGAAAAAAAUGAACAUUUAUAAUGUCUGGGGCAGUUUCUAGCAACAGUCUCAGACAAAUGUCCUUAGCAGUUCUAGGGUGGAGGGGCCCCUUGAGUAUGGAGUCCAUCCCUUGACAAAAAUCCAAAUAAUUUCCCCAACUUUUCAUUUUUGUAUAUGUAAUGUUAUUAUAGGACUGCUGAUUUCACUGCUGUUAGUCUGAGUCUCGGUCGUAUUUGAGCUCCUCAAAAAGCACCUGAGCAAUGUACAGUUUUUAUCAUCAGAAGUACUAAGUCUGGCCCGUCCAUCCUGGCUUAUUCACAUUCAGUCUUUUGUGCUGACUUUCUGCCUGAGGACCCCAGUGUCUCAUCUUCCAAUUUGGCAUUAAUAUUAAUGAUGACCGCUAAAGCAGAAAAUCAGAUCAGCAUGCAAAGACAUAGAUCUGUUCCCUGGAGAGUUGCU
rnacentral:lncRNA from 1 species